GCCUGGGUGGCUCAGUGGUUGAGUAUCUGCAUUUGGCUCAGGUAGUGAUCACAGAGUCAUGGGAUCGAGUCCCACCUUGGGCU
rnacentral:tRNA from 1 species